UUUUACGUCAUAUCCGGUUCAAGAGGUGUGCUGAAGAGUUGACGUUUUAUCAAAGGUAUUUCGUCUUCGGAUAACAUGAAGGGGACAUCUGUAGUGGCAGUCUGUGUUUUAGCUAUGUGUUUGGUAGAGGAGACUUGCUGCAAGGCAAUAGCCAAGGGAGGAAACAACAAUGUUCCACUCAAAGGCAGAAAGAACUCUCCGUCUGAUGUUGACGUCAUACAUUCCAAACCAAAACUUCAAUCCACGACAAAAUUGGAACCAAGUGGACGCGAGAUGGACGUUGAUGACACUAGUGACCUGGUGAUUCACGACCGCAGGGAGUUACAAGCGACCGGUGAACCUUGUGAAAAAGGGGGCGUGGCCUGUCGACGCCGUAAGAAGCGACAGUUUUCAAAGCUGUUAAAUGACCCCCGGAGAUCAACGCCGGGGACAAACGGAGUGUAUGAUCUACAAACAGUGGACAACAUUCAUGACGAGAAAUCGUUUUUCUCUGACUCAUUGUUUGAUGACGAUGACGAUGAAGAUGGCCACAUCAUGAUACUAAGGCAGCGAAAACGACGUGAUUCUGAUAUUUCCUCCGAUGACUCUGAUGAAGCUAGUAUGUUCGAUGAUAUUGGUGGUGAUAAACCUUCGUAUUCUGAAAUUCUUGGUUCAUAUUUGCAUGGAGAGGACGAUAUGCCUUUUCGAGCUAAAAGAGAUAUGCUGUCUGAUUCAGCAUUUACUGAUGAACUUGAAAAGGACAGCAAUGACGACAACGAUAAUGAAGAUGACACCGAUUUGUCAAUAUCAUCGGAGGACUGGAGUUUACCCCUUCUGAAGGACAGGCUUAAAAGAGAAACAGAUACUUCAAGUCUAGACACGUUUGAAGAAGAAAAUGAUGAAAUAUUCGACGAUGUUGUUGAUGACGAUGACACUGACGACGAAAGCGUUAAAAGUGAUGUCGAUAAAAAGACAGUCAAGAAACGUCAACAAGCGGGUUUGCCAAAUAAAAGAAUUCUGCAAGAACCCGCCAAUCAAGAUAAAACAAAAGACAUUCCUAAUAAUUUUGGUUUAGUAGAUCGGGACAAAUCUUUAAUGAACAAAAAAUACACCACUAGUCAUCGCACAGGACAAAUGAUCAAGCAACAUGUUCCUGAAUUACAGGAUGAAGACGCUGAUGACGACACCAGUUCAAGUAAUGCUAAGAAUAGCGGUCCGGAAACAGAAAGUGAUGCUGAGUUAUCUGAUAUUCCUCUUGACGCUCAGUCGGGGGUUGUUUUGGACAGAGUCCCCCGAGACAGUCAGGAUAUAACGGUCUAUGAGGAAGGCGGUGAACCGAACUCUGGUGAGAACAACUCCUUUCAAGCUAGAGGAAAAGGACAGGUGGUAAAGAAUUGAUAAUUUUGUAAAAAAAAUCUUAAAAAAUAGACUGGAGCAACGUUAGUCGGGACACAUAUUUCUAAAAUCAAAAGUGGAAAAGCAGAUAUUUCUUUAAGAAAAAUGGAACAAAGUCAGUGUCUGACAAUACAGUAUAUGCAAUUUUAUUGCGAUUUAUUCUGUAGUACUAAUUAGAGUGUAUCCUUACUAUUUAACUUUAUUUCCCAAGUGAAUAUUAUAAUGACUGUUUAAACAAAAAUACAUGAAUAGGUUAUGACUGUUACUCAUUUAAAGUUUAAAGUAAAUACUUACUUGCCUUUGUAUUGCAAAUUACAAAGACGCGCCAUGAUUAAUAUUUUAACAUGCCAUAAUUACAUUUCGAACAUAAUUAUGACCAAGGUUCGAUCACUUAGUAUUAAAUUACCUGUCGACACACAAAUGUGAUAUUUAUAGCUGUUAAUUCUGUAGGUUACGGUAGAUCAUCUCCGUCCUAAAAAACUUCAUUUCCCGUGGAACGUGUGACCCACACUUUGGACUUUUCUAAUGUGGUUUUGCAAUAUUAUGUUUGUCAGGAUUUUAUUGAAGCGUGUUGUGAAAAUGAUAUACAAUGUGUUACUUAGGGAUUGUCGGUGUGUAAGGCGACAACCGAACGGAUCUUUUUCAUUGGGUAUUCGGCUAGCUUCCUUAAAAAUAUUAAACUGUUAUCACUCAAAAUAUAAAUCAGUUAAUCUUUGUAAUGGCAUCCGAGACCGAUGCCUACUUAUAACUAAGAGUUUCGUAAAGAUGCAGAUUAUUGAAUAUUUAUGGUCGCUGUCUUGAUAUCAUUGGUAAAUAUGCUAUUUCUUUAAGAAAUGGAAUUUAUUUUUUCAACGUUCAUGAGGUCAUAACAACAUUGGCUUUCUGGCAAAUUUACCAUGAAUGGCGUGGCUGUCUGGACAUAUUUCCAUAAAUAUGUCCAGAAAGCAUGUUGUUAUGACCUCACAAAUGUUAAAAACACAACCUGUGUUAUGUUUUGUUGGCCAUAAUACAUACUUCAUAACCAAUGAAAAUGCGUCAUGACAUCGCCGAGGGGAUGAUCCGGAUGAUCAUCAGAAAUGUUUUUCAGACAUUAUAGCGUUCAUACAAAGAACAAUAGUAGGUAUGUAAAUUAAACAAUGUCAUACAUGUAUGUUGUUAUGGUAUGCGGUAGAUAACACUUGGUCAUUUUGCGGAUGUGAGUCCACACAAAAUCUCCUGCUUUUACAUCAGAUUAAGACACGUGUGGCACAACCAAGAUGAAUAUUUUCGACCAACGAGAUACGAUUCUCCGAGCAGACUAUGUGCAACUUUCUGAAAUAAGGUUCCUGAGCUGUAUCCCACUGUAUUGGCCUUUCAAACACUAAUGAGAGACCCACUAUAUAACUGUGGUGGGGGUGGGGUUCUUCUGUGUUUUGUGCUUAGUGGACAUCUGAGAAAGCAUAGUUGAUCUGUUGAGCCCAUUGUGACACUUGCAACCUGUUUACCGUUCCCCAACCUAUUCUCCAUUUUCGGCGUUGUAUUCGUUGGUUAGGCCAUUGUCUGUUUGAGAUGUAUAGUUAGCCUCGAUAAAAUACCCUUCGUAUCAUAAGCCAUCUCGCCAAAUUUUACAUACACGCGCAAACUUUGUGACAGUAUAACAAAGUUUUCUUUUACAGGCAAAUACAUACUUUUCUGAGUCCCCAACUUGAACAAUCUCAAAUUCCUAUCUUUAAAUAAUCUUCAAAGAAGUUAUUUUGAAAUACCAGGACAGCUAGUAGACAUCGAUUCCAACUGCACAUGGGGUGAAAUAUGCUGUGCAUGGUCGACAUCCGAUCCGGAUGAUCACAUAGGUACUUGGAGUGGGAGGCGUGGGAUUCCUGUAGUGUGACGUGUGGAGUAGGACGGUCCACGAGGAGGCGUGUCUGUA